rnacentral:rRNA from 1 species
CUGAGUACGGCGGAACACGUGAAAUUCCGUCGGAAUCCGGGAGGACCAUCUCCCAAGGCUAAAUACUCCCUAGUGACCGAUAGUGAACCAGUACCGUGAGGGAAAGGUGAAAAGCACCCCGGAAGGGGAGUGAAACAGUUCCUGAAACCGUGUGCCUACAAGUAGUUAGAGCCCGUUAAUGGGUGAUAGCGUGCCUUUUGUAGAAUGAACCGGCGAGUUACGAUUUGUUGCAAGGUUAAGCGGAAAAAGCGGAGCCGUAGCGAAAGCGAGUCUGAAUAGGGCGCAUAAGUAACAGGUCGUAGACCCGAAACCAGGUGAUCUACCCAUGUCCAGGAUGAAGGUAAGGUAAUACUUACUGGAGGUCCGAACCCACGCACGUUGAAAAGUGCGGGGAUGAGGUGUGGGUAGCGGAGAAAUUCCAAUCGAACUUGGAGAUAGCUGGUUCUCUCCGAAAUAGCUUUAGGGCUAGCCUCGAGGUAAAGAGUCAUGGAGGUAGAGCACUGUUUGGACUAGGGGCCCUUCUCGGGUUACCGAAUUCAGAUAAACUCCGAAUGCCAUGUACUUAUACUCGGGAGUCAGACUGCGAGUGAUAAGAUCCGUAGUCGAAAGGGAAACAGCCCAGACCACCAGUUAAGGUCCCCAAAUAUAUG